CUGUUUCGAGUUCCUGUAAUUGUAAAAUGUGGCUCCAGAGGAAUCGCAGACUCAGUCAGCAGCCAUGAACCUCAGCACUCGUCACUGACGUGCAUGAAUUCAGGCUGUGAUAACUGUGAUGACUGCAUCUCACCUACUGGUUUUCACUCGGUCAGUUCAUUUCAUGUUGCUUCACUCAUGCCAGCUCAUGGAUGAAGGGGUCCUCAGUUUGCUCGUUGUCGUGGACAUGGACUUCCAUCGCAAGGUGAAGCUAUUUGGUUCUGCAGAGCUCACGCACUUUGCUGCUCCAGUUCUUCUUCAGGGUCUGUCUGUGCUCAAAGGCUCAUCCUGGCACAACGUAAACCUGGUUUAAUCCACGGAACACGGAGGUCCCACUUUGUGCUUCAGGUCCAGAAUUUGAAUCAGCAGAAGAGGAGUGCUGGCAGUGAGAUGUACUGGAGCUGCAAAGAGGAGAGCAGGCAUCCGCUUUCAUAUGCUCUCCUCGGGUACAUUUGUCAUUAUCCCCCAGCAGAGUAGCUCUUAUGAAAACUGUUAUGACAAAUGGUUUGAGAUGUUCCCAGAACACUUCAGCUGUUGUAUUAGGGAAACCUGCAAAGAGAACAGAGUGAGGCAGCGAGUCCCAAAAUGAAGGAAGAAUCCUGCUGAGUAUUAAACACGAGGAGCAGUUGAGUCUAAUCAAAAUGGAACAUUCAAAGGAUCCGGAUCAAUAUUUGAAUGAGGUCCCUGGACCCAAUGAGUGAAUCUGUUCUUUAACUUAACAGAUUUGACUCCAGCGCCCCCCCCUCCACCUCACACGUCUCCAGUCCAGCAGCGGCCCCCACCCCCACGUGUUCACCUGGAGGCUGCUGGAACCACAGAGGGUGGUUGACUUGUCCUGCGCCUUCAACACUAUGAGGCCAGUGCUCCUGAGAGAGAAGCUAGAGGAGGCAGGAGUGGACAAAGCUAACUGCAUGGACGACGACUACCUCACCAACCGACCUCAGUACAUGUGGCUGCGCAACUGUGUGUCUGAGGUGGUGGUUUCCAGCGCUGGGGCCCCUCAGGGGACGGUGCUCUCACUGUUCCUCUCCACCCUCUACACCUCAGACUUCACAUACAACACCAGCUCAGACACACAGCCAUCGUUGGCUGUGUGUCUGAGGGAACGAGCCGGAGAGCAGGUCAGUCAUCAUGGACUUUGUGGACUGGUGUGAGCGCAACCACUUGUGUUUAAACACCAGUAAGACCAAGGAGAUGCUGAUUGACUUCUGUCCUGUGAUGUCCACUGGACUCUGUGGAGGAGGUGCUAAGAGGAGGAUGUUUGAUAGACUGACAUCCAUCAUGGCCAGUUCCUCUCACCCACUGCACCAGACUGUGGGAGCUCUGAACAGCUCCUUCAGUGGCAGACUGAUCCACUCACUGUGUAGGAAGGAGCGGGUCCUUCAUCCACCGCUGUUAGACUGGACAAUGUGGAGGUCUGACAGGCUCAGAUUUUCACUCUUAUUUUCAAAUCUGUUACAUGUUCUUGUACAUGCCACGUGUUUCCUCUACUUCUGCAUACAUUUGAGUAUGGUACUACAUGCCUGAGCUGUAAAUAUGUAAAUAUGUAAUAUGUUGCUUGUAAUCCUGCACAAUUUUGAAAAUUUUUCUUUAUUCUGCAUUUUGCUGUCUUUCCGUUGCUGCUCCAGCAAAUGACUUUCUCUAAUGUAGGGUGACUAAAGUCUGUGUGUCCGUC